GGUUGAUGCUCAUUACUGCAUUAACAUUGAAUCUCUUUAUUGAGUCACUCAGAAAAGUUGACACAAUUGAAUUGGAGAUAUGCUCCAGAGCUCCAAUCCCAACUUUAUACAAAGCAUCCAGAGGUAAAAUUUGUUGAGCAGUAGACAAGAGGGUGUCGAGAUAUAUAACCACCUCGUUCAUGCAUUCGUUCCCUUGCUGUGGGGCAUCCUCUGCUGUCCAAUGGACAUUUUCUGUGAGUGACAUGAACUCAUCCAGUUUUGCAUUAACUAAGCUUAGUAAUGCAAUAUAAGCAGCAUCUCUUGAAGUCUUGAGGACAAUCUUGGCGGUUAAACUGCCUUGAGGCCUUUCAACUAAACGGACAGGAAUGCCAC
rnacentral:misc_RNA from 1 species